AGAAGAGACAUGCGCGCAUAUCAAUAAGCGGAGGAAAAGAAACUAACUAAGGAUUCCCUCAGUAACGGCGAGUGAAGCGGGAAGAGCUCAAAUUUGAAAUCUUCAAGGUUCUACCUUUACGAAUUGUAGUUUAAAGAAGUGUUUUCUGUUGAGGUUUUGGUAAAAGUUCUUUGGAAUAGGACAUCAUAGAGGGUGAGAAUCCCGUAUUUGACCUUUACUUUCAACUUUGUGAUACACUUUCAAAGAGUCGGAUUGUUUGGGAAUGCAGUCCAAAAUGGGUGGUAAAUUUCAUCUAAAGCUAAAUAUUGGCGAGAGACCGAUAGCGAACAAGUACCGUGAGGGAAAGAUGAAAAGAACUUUGAAAAGAGAGUUAAACAGUACGUGAAAUUGUCAAAAGGGAAGCGUUUGACACCAGUGUUGUUUUUCUGAAAAUCAAUUAAAGAACUGUUUAUGCUAAGUUGUUUAGACUUUAUCAGCUAACUGUUUAGUUUUGAGCUUUUCUUUAAUGCACUUUUCAGUUAACAAGUCAACAUCAAUUUCUUUUGCUGUAAAAAAGCUUGAGGAAGGUGGCUUGAGAUUCGUCUUAAGUGUUUAUAGCCUCUUGCCUAUGCAGUCGGAGAGAUUGAGGUCUGCAACGUAGAUCCUUCGGGGCUAAAUGCAUUUGUGCUAAGUUAUAGCAUUUUAUAGACAACUUGUUGACUAUGAUUUGUCUUGUAGCUUACUCGCUUAUGUUAUUUUACCUACGCUUAGGAUGUUGAGCGCAUGUCUCUCUCU
rnacentral:rRNA from 1 species